UGCCCGGUCGUCUAACGGUAGGACAACGGAUUUUGGCUCCGUUUAUCAUGGUUCGAAUCCAUGCUGGGCAG
rnacentral:tRNA from 1 species